GAUGAACGCUAUCUACAGGCUUAACACAUGCAAGUCGAGGGGCAGCAUGGUCUUAGCUUGCUAAGGCCGAUGGCGACCGGCGCACGGGUGAGUAACACGUAUCCAACCUGCCGUCUACUCUUGGACAGCCUUCUGAAAGGAAGAUUAAUACAAGAUGGCAUCAUGAGUCCGCAUGUUCACAUGAUUAAAGGUAUUCCGGUAGACGAUGGGGAUGCGUUCCAUUAGAUAGUAGGCGGGGUAACGGCCCACCUAGUCUUCGAUGGAUAGGGGUUCUGAGAGGAAGGUCCCCCACAUUGGAACUGAGACACGGUCCAAACUCCUACGGGAGGCAGCAGUGAGGAAUAUUGGUCAAUGGGCGAGAGCCUGAACCAGCCAAGUAGCGUGAAGGAUGACUGCCCUAUGGGUUGUAAACUUCUUUUAUAAAGGAAUAAAGUCGGGUAUGGAUACCCGUUUGCAUGUACUUUAUGAAUAAGGAUCGGCUAACUCCGUGCCAGCAGCCGCGGUAAUACGGAGGAUCCGAGCGUUAUCCGGAUUUAUUGGGUUUAAAGGGAGCGUAGAUGGAUGUUUAAGUCAGUUGUGAAAGUUUGCGGCUCAACCGUAAAAUUGCAGUUGAUACUGGAUAUCUUGAGUGCAGUUGAGGCAGGCGGAAUUCGUGGUGUAGCGGUGAAAUGCUUAGAUAUCACGAAGAACUCCGAUUGCGAAGGCAGCCUGCUAAGCUGCAACUGACAUUGAGGCUCGAAAGCGUGGGUAUCAAACAGGAUUAGAUACCCUGGUAGUCCACACGGUAAACGAUGAAUACUCGCUGUUUGCGAUAUACUGCAAGCGGCCAAGCGAAAGCGUUAAGUAUUCCACCUGGGGAGUACGCCGGCAACGGUGAAACUCAAAGGAAUUGACGGGGGCCCGCACAAGCGGAGGAACAUGUGGUUUAAUUCGAUGAUACGCGAGGAACCUUACCCGGGCUUAAAUUGCAGAUGAAUUACGGUGAAAGCCGUAAGCCGCAAGGCAUCUGUGAAGGUGCUGCAUGGUUGUCGUCAGCUCGUGCCGUGAGGUGUCGGCUUAAGUGCCAUAACGAGCGCAACCCUUGUUGUCAGUUACUAACAGGUUCCGCUGAGGACUCUGACAAGACUGCCAUCGUAAGAUGUGAGGAAGGUGGGGAUGACGUCAAAUCAGCACGGCCCUUACGUCCGGGGCUACACACGUGUUACAAUGGGGGGUACAGAGGGCCGCUACCACGCGAGUGGAUGCCAAUCCCCAAAACCUCUCUCAGUUCGGACUGGAGUCUGCAACCCGACUCCACGAAGCUGGAUUCGCUAGUAAUCGCGCAUCAGCCACGGCGCGGUGAAUACGUUCCCGGGCCUUGUACACACCGCCCGUCAAGCCAUGGGAGCCGGGGGUACCUGAAGUGCGUAACCGCGAGGAGCGCCCUAGGGUAAAACUGGUGACUGGGGCUAA
rnacentral:rRNA from 1 species